rnacentral:rRNA from 1 species
CGGAGGGUGCAAGCGUUAAUCGGAAUUACUGGGCGUAAAGCGCACGCAGGUGGCUGAGUCAGUCGAUUGUGAAAGCCCUGGGCUUAACCUGGGAAUUGCAGUCGAUACUACUCAGCUAGAGUAUGGGAGAGGGUAGUGGAACUCCCGGUGUAGCGGUGAAAUGCGUAGAUAUCGGGAGGAACAUCAGUGGCGAAGGCGGCUACCUGGCCCAAUACUGACACUCAGGUGCGACAGCGUGGGGAGCAAACAGGAUUAGACACCCCGGUAGUCCACGCCGUAAACGAUGAGAACUAGAUGUCGGGGGGGAUUAGCCCCUCGGUGUCGUAGCUAACGCGCUAAGUUCUCCGCCUGGGGAGUACGGCCGCAAGGUUG